GGCAAGAGCUCAAAUUUGAAAUCUGGCGCCCCGCGGCGCCCGAGUUGUAAUUUGCAGAGGGUGCUUUGGCGUUGGCCGCGGCCCAAGUUCCUUGGAACAGGGCGUCGCAGAGGGUGAGAACCCCGUACAUGGCCGCGUGCCUCCGCCGUGUAAAGCCCCUUCGACGAGUCGAGUUGUUUGGGAAUGCAGCUCUAAAUGGGAGGUAAAUUCCUUCUAAAGCUAAAUACUGGCCAGAGACCGAUAGCGCACAAGUAGAGUGAUCGAAAGAUGAAAAGCACUUUGGAAAGAGAGUCAAAAAGCACGUGAAAUUGUUGAAAGGGAAGCGCUUGCAGCCAGACUUGCCCGCGGCCGUUCUGCGGUCGCGGGCAGGCCAGCAUCGGUCUGGGCGGUCGGAUAAAGGCCCCGGGAGCGUAGCUCCCUCCGGGGAGUGUUAUAGCCCGGGGCGCCAUGCGGCCAGCCCCGACCGAGGUCCGCGCAUCCGCUAGGAUGCUGGCGUAAUGGCUGCAAGCGGCCCGUCUUGAAACACGGACCAAGGAGUCUAACAUCUAUGCGAGUGUUUGGGUGUCAAGCCCGGGCGCGCAAUGAAAGUGAACGGAGGUGGGAACCCCUCGGGGCGCACCAUCGACCGAUCCUGAUGUCUUCGGAUGGAUUUGAGUAAGAGCAUAGCUGUUGGGACCCGAAAGAUGGUGAACUAUGCCUGAAUAGGGUGAAGCCAGAGGAAACUCUGGUGGAGGCUCGCAGCGGUUCUGACGUGCAAAUCGAUCGUCAAAUUUGGGCAU
rnacentral:rRNA from 1 species